rnacentral:rRNA from 1 species
AUGUUGAGUGUUAAGUAUUAGAUAGUGGCGGACGGGUGAGUAACGCGUGGGUAACCUACCCAUAAACCCGGGACAACCCUUGGAAACGAGGGCUAAUACCGGAUAAUCUUAUUAAGUGGCAUCACUUGAUAAGGAAAGGUGGCCUCUGAAAAUGCUACCGAUUAUGGAUGGACCCGCGUCUGAUUAGCUAGUUGGUGGGGUAAAGGCCUACCAAGGCGACGAUCAGUAGCCGGCCUGAGAGGGUGAACGGCCACACUGGGACUGAGACACGGCCCAGACUCCUACGGGAGGCAGCAGUGGGGAAUCUUCCGCAAUGGACGAAAGUCUGACGGAGCAACGCCGCGUGUAUGAUGAAGGUCUUCGGAUUGUAAAGUACUGUCUUUGGGGAAGAAUGACUGGCUUGAAAAUAUUGAGUCAGUAUGACGGUACCCAAGGAGGAAGCCCCGGCUAACUACGUGCCAGCAGCCGCGGUAAUACGUAGGGGGCAAGCGUUGUCCGGAAUUAUUGGGCGUAAAGGGCGUGUAGGCGGGAAUGCAAGUCAGAUGUGAAAUGCCGAGGCUUAAACCUCGGAGCUGCAUCGGAAACUGGGUAUCUUGAGGACAGGAGAGGAAAGUGGAAUUCCUAGUGUAGCGGUGAAAUGCGUAGAUAUUAGGAGGAACACCAGUGGCGAAGGCGACUUUCUGGACUGUAACUGACGCUGAGGCGCGAAAGCGUGGGGAGCAAACAGGAUUAGAUACCCUGGUAGUCCACGCUGUAAACGAUGAGUGCUAGGUGUAGAGGGUAUCGACCCCUUCUGUGCCGCAGUUAACACAAUAAGCACUCCGCCUGGGGAGUAUGCACGCAAGUGUGAAACUCAAAGGAAUUGACGGGGGCCCGCACAAGCGGUGGAGCAUGUGGUUUAAUUCGACGCAACGCGAAGAACCUUACCAGGGCUUGACAUCCUACGAACUUCCUAGAAAUAAGACAGGGAGAUAGUUAUGGCGGAUACAGGUGGUGCAUGGUUGUCGUCAGCUCGUGUCGUGAGAUGUUGGGUUAAGUCCCGCAACGAGCGCAACCCUUGUCCUUAGUUGCCACCAUUCAGUUGGGCACUCUAAGGAGACUGCCGGUGACAAACCGGAGGAAGGUGGGGAUGACGUCAAAUCAUCAUGCCCCUUAUGAGUUGGGCUACACACGUGCUACAAUGGACGGUACAAAGGGCAGCGAAGCCGCGAGGUGGAGCCAAUCCCAGAAAGCCGUUCUCAGUUCGGAUUGCAGGCUGCAACUCGCCUGCAUGAAGUCGGAAUCGCUAGUAAUCGCAGGUCAGCAUACUGCGGUGAAUACGUUCCCGGGUCUUGUACACACCGCCCGUCACACCACGAGAGUGGGCAACACCCGAAGCCGGUGACUCAACCCGAAAGGGAGAGAGCCGUCGAAGGUGGGGUUGGUAAUUGGGG